AGCGUACACGGUGGAUGCCCUGGCAGUCAGAGGCGAUGAAGGACGUGCUAAUCUGCGAUAAGCGUCGGUAAGGUGAUAUGAACCGUUAUAACCGGCGAUUUCCGAAUGGGGAAACCCAGUGUGAUUCGUCACACUAUCAUUAACUGAAUCCAUAGGUUAAUGAGGCGAACCGGGGGAACUGAAACAUCUAAGUACCCCGAGGAAAAGAAAUCAACCGAGAUUCCCCCAGUAGCGGCGAGCGAACGGGGAGCAGCCCAGAGCCUGAAUCAGUGUGUGUGUUAGUGGAAGCGUCUGGAAAGGCGCGCGAUACAGGGUGACAGCCCCGUACACAAAAAUGCACAUGCUGUGAGCUCGAUGAGUAGGGCGGGACACGUGGUAUCCUGUCUGAAUAUGGGGGGACCAUCCUCCAAGGCUAAAUACUCCUGACUGACCGAUAGUGAACCAGUACCGUGAGGGAAAGGCGAAAAGAACCCCGGCGAGGGGAGUGAAAAAGAACCUGAAACCGUGUACGUACAAGCAGUGGGAGCACGCUUAGGCGUGUGACUGCGUACCUUUUGUAUAAUGGGUCAGCGACUUAUAUUCUGUAGCAAGGUUAACCGAAUAGGGGAGCCGAAGGGAAACCGAGUCUUAACUGGGCGUUAAGUUGCAGGGUAUAGACCCGAAACCCGGUGAUCUAGCCAUGGGCAGGUUGAAGGUUGGGUAACACUAACUGGAGGACCGAACCGACUAAUGUUGAAAAAUUAGCGGAUGACUUGUGGCUGGGGGUGAAAGGCCAAUCAAACCGGGAGAUAGCUGGUUCUCCCCGAAAGCUAUUUAGGUAGCGCCUCGUGAAUUCAUCUCCGGGGGUAGAGCACUGUUUCGGCAAGGGGGUCAUCCCGACUUACCAACCCGAUGCAAACUGCGAAUACCGGAGAAUGUUAUCACGGGAGACACACGGCGGGUGCUAACGUCCGUCGUGAAGAGGGAAACAACCCAGACCGCCAGCUAAGGUCCCAAAGUCAUGGUUAAGUGGGAAACGAUGUGGGAAGGCCCAGACAGCCAGGAUGUUGGCUUAGAAGCAGCCAUCAUUUAAAGAAAGCGUAAUAGCUCACUGGUCGAGUCGGCCUGCGCGGAAGAUGUAACGGGGCUAAACCAUGCACCGAAGCUGCGGCAGCGACGCUUAUGCGUUGUUGGGUAGGGGAGCGUUCUGUAAGCCUGCGAAGGUGUGCUGUGAGGCAUGCUGGAGGUAUCAGAAGUGCGAAUGCUGACAUAAGUAACGAUAAAGCGGGUGAAAAGCCCGCUCGCCGGAAGACCAAGGGUUCCUGUCCAACGUUAAUCGGGGCAGGGUGAGUCGACCCCUAAGGCGAGGCCGAAAGGCGUAGUCGAUGGGAAACAGGUUAAUAUUCCUGUACUUGGUGUUACUGCGAAGGGGGGACGGAGAAGGCUAUGUUGGCCGGGCGACGGUUGUCCCGGUUUAAGCGUGUAGGCUGGUUUUCCAGGCAAAUCCGGAAAAUCAAGGCUGAGGCGUGAUGACGAGGCACUACGGUGCUGAAGCAACAAAUGCCCUGCUUCCAGGAAAAGCCUCUAAGCAUCAGGUAACAUCAAAUCGUACCCCAAACCGACACAGGUGGUCAGGUAGAGAAUACCAAGGCGCUUGAGAGAACUCGGGUGAAGGAACUAGGCAAAAUGGUGCCGUAACUUCGGGAGAAGGCACGCUGAUAUGUAGGUGAAGUCCCUCGCGGAUGGAGCUGAAAUCAGUCGAAGAUACCAGCUGGCUGCAACUGUUUAUUAAAAACACAGCACUGUGCAAACACGAAAGUGGACGUAUACGGUGUGACGCCUGCCCGGUGCCGGAAGGUUAAUUGAUGGGGUUAGCGCAAGCGAAGCUCUUGAUCGAAGCCCCGGUAAACGGCGGCCGUAACUAUAACGGUCCUAAGGUAGCGAAAUUCCUUGUCGGGUAAGUUCCGACCUGCACGAAAGGCGCAACGACUUGGGCGCUGUCUCGACCAUGGACCCGGUGAAAUUGCACUGGUCGUGAAGAUGCGACUUACCCGCGGAAGGACGGAAAGACCCCGUGAACCUUCACUGCAGCUUGGCAUUGGCCGCUGGUCCCGCGUGUAGAGGAUAGGCAGGAGGCGCAGAUCCGGAGGCGCCAGCCCCCGGGGAGCCGCCCUUGGAAUACUGCCCUCGCGCGACCGGCGUCCUAACCCGAGGCCGUCAACCGGCUCGGGGACCGUGCCAGGCGGGCAGUUUGACUGGGGCGGUCGCCUCCUAAAGGGUAACGGAGGCGCGCGAAGGUCCGCUCGGGACGGUCGGCAACCGUCCUUUUGAAUGCAAGAGUACAAGCGGGCUUGACUGCGAGGCCCACAAGCCGAGCAGGUGCGAAAGCAGGCUCUAGUGAUCCGGCGGCCCCGAGUGGGUGGGCCGUCGCUCAACGGAUAAAAGGUACUCCGGGGAUAACAGGCUGAUCUUGCCCAAGAGUCCACAUCGACGGCAAGGUUUGGCACCUCGAUGUCGGCUCAUCGCAUCCUGGGGCUGGAGCAGGUCCCAAGGGUACGGCUGUUCGCCGUUUAAAGCGGUACGCGAGCUGGGGUCAGAACGUCGUGAGACAGUUCGGUCCCUAUCCUCCGUGGGCGCAGGAGAAUCGAUGGAGGCUGCCCCCAGUACGAGAGGACCGGGGUGGACGCACCUCCGGUGAACCGGUUGUCGACCAACGGCACGGCCGGGUAGCCGCGUGCGGCGCGGAUAACCGCUGAAGGCAUCUAAGCGGGAAGCCGUUCCAGGGAUUAGUUCUCCUUCCGGUAAGGGCCCAGGUAGACUACCUGGUCGAUAGACGGCAGGUGCAAGGGCGGCGACGUCCUCAGCCGAGCCGCACUAAUCGCCCGAGCUCUUCCGG
rnacentral:rRNA from 1 species